GGAACGGAAAUGGACAAUUACUUAACAUUAAAGUAUAUGGAAAUGUCACUCAUAGAUAAAAUGCUAGGAUCAUAUAUGAUCAUUUGGAUACUUAUGAAACAUUCACAUAAAGGAGAACUGAUUAAAGUGGUUUAUCCAAUAUCACGUGUCACAACUUCAUAACAUAGAGUUAUCCUAAUCAAAGUGUUUUGCAGCGGAAAACGUGUGAGAUAUACAUAUGAAGAUGUAUACUCAAGGUUACAUUUCUUGAAAUGAUCAAAGGAACACCCGCUCAACACCAUUCCAUUCCAUCAGCUACUCAACCUGCACAUUUAGAAAUACAUGCAGGGCUGAGUAUAAAAUACUCAGUGGCAAAUGCCGAAAAUACAAUCAUGCAUACAUAUAUAAAUUGAACUGCCAUAACAGUAACACACAGGGGUUUUCUUGAAAGACCUGCGCUUACUAAAACAUUUCUUUCAUUUUCAUAAAUCGACGGCCGACAUUUUCCUUCAUAGAUCCAUAUCUGUUCCUUUCUGUCACGCGCCGGGAAGGAGGCCUCCUUACCACGGACGCCAAGACCGGUCGCAAGCGACUCGCGGUCUCCAUGAGUGUACACGUUAACCCUAGCUAGCGACCUUUGUCUAGCAUAGGAUCCCAAUUGGAUUUCCUUUAAAGUUGGCGAACCAACACAGAUAGGAUACAUACAAAACAUAAACAUUUUGGCAGUCAAUCAUUUCAUAAACAUUUCAUUUCAUUUCAUAACAUUCAUUUUCAUUUCAUAAGAGUCAUUUAUCAUUUGGCAUUAUAAAAUGAAAUUAACAGUUAAAAUCAUCUCAUGCAUAUAUUCGUAUAAGAGGCCUACGACACGCAGGGGAUCUCUAUAUACGUAUAGUAAAAGUAAUGCCCACCUGGAUAGGCAAAGCCUGAAGAUUAUAAUCACAUAAACUCGUCUUGGGAAAGCAGCGCUAAUCCCCUUGGUUCAUAAAGCCUACAAGAAAUUUUAUUCUUAAUAGGUCUCGUGAAGCUAACUUAAAGUCUUAGUGGAUGUACUAAACAUACUUGAUUCAUCACGCCGGGUUUUCAAAUUUAAUAAUAAAAAUUGAAAGCUAAUUCUUGAGCUAAGGACACCAACAAUAUCCUUACUCGAUUUUCUUUUAUUAAUUGAAUUUAUAAAUAAAUCCAAUUAAAUCAUAAAACUUUCUAUUGCAUAAUGCAAAUGCAAUUUCAUGUCAUGCUUAAAACAUAUAAUAAGUACUUACUUAAAAUAUGCACAUAAUAAUAAUAUGAUAUUAUUAUGAAAACUAGUCUUUGAAAAUAAUUAAUCAAACUCAAAGAAGUCUAAUUAAUUAAAUAUGGACUGCCAAAUAAUAAAUGUAAGGCCAUCUUCAAAAAAUUCGCAGUCCACAUAAAUAAACAAAGGCCCAAUACUUGAAUAAAACUAAACCCAAGCAUGUAAAUAAAUAAAUGACUACAGCCCAAGCCUCGGCCCAAAACUCAAUUAAAAUCGGCCCACUUCCUAAAAAAAAACAGCCCAUCUUUGGGCCCAACCCUAAACUACCACUCUUCACUUAUCACACCACACACACACAUCACACGCAGCAGCUGCGCUGCCCACACUCCCUCCCUCUUCUCCUUUCUCCGGCGACGGUAGGCGUCGCCGGACACGCCGCCGUCCCCGACGUACCCUCUCCCUCUCCUACUGAACUCUCCUAUCUCCCUCAAACAGACGUCCAUCACCUCCAUAUAUCUCUCUUCACGUCGGAAGUCCGCCGCCGCGGAGACUCGCCGGGAAAACAACGGCGACACCCUCGGUUCUCCCUCUCUUUCGGACCUCCGGUGAUUUCAGCAGCGAUCAGCCGCUGCCCCACCUUCUAUUUGUGCAGAAUCCGACGGCCGCCGCAGCUGAAGCUAGCCACCGUCGAUCUGCCCUUCUCCCUUGAAUCUCCGGCCACCGCCCGUAGAUUAGGCGACGCCACUUCUGACUCUCUCGACUCCGGCAGUAGCAGCUUUCGUAGCCACCACCACCGCCGUCGUCCUCCGCCGAACAGCCCCGCUGUCCAGCCGCUCACCACCAUCUCAGCCCCGACCAUCUCUCUCAAACCUUUUUCCCUCGCUCGUUCUUCUCUGUUAACGGAAACAGGACAGCAGACGCCCCGCCGUGGUGCGCCGCCGCCUUUCGUUCGCCGGAAAAGUAAAACCCUAAACUUUCUACUUCCUCUUUCUUUUAAUCUCUCAUUUCUAAUAAAAACUAGAUAUCUCCCCCUUUUUUUUUUUCGUACAGGUUGGAGUCAACGGCGGGUCUGCCGCCGCCACGCCAUCACCGGCGAGCUUCCCGGGCCGCCGACUUCUGCCCUCGACACUCACACACAUACACAUGGGCUUAGCACAAAAAUUUAACCACAAUUAAAAGUAGGAUUAGGGCAGAUUUGUAUUACUAAACUGUAAAUUGUUUAAUGACAAUUUCUUAUUAAAGCUUCUAGAUCUGUAAAUUAUUAUUCUUCCUUCAGUUAUCUGUACAGUAAUUUCAAUUCAAGAACAACUCAUAACGUAUUCAUAGUUAUGUGAAUUCUCGUGUGUGUUGGUGGUGCUCUGAACGUGUCUUGUAUGGAUCAUAAAAAAAAUAAUGAUAAUGGAACAUUGAAAUAUAGAUUUUCAGUAUAGGAAAAACCUUGAGAUAUGAGGGAUGUAUAUUGUGAAUUUGUUGUUUCUGCAGAAUAAGUAAUCACCAACACAUUAGUAGUGGAUGAGGUGAAACAGUUUGUGAAAGGAGGAACAUUAAAUCCUUACCCCCUUCUUGAUCGAAAGCAGCGUGACUUGAGGAGAGAAAGGAAGUGGUGAUUGAUCUAUACUUUGAGGGUUAUUUAGAGGAGUAGUUGGGUGGGAGUAGCUGAAAGUGGGAGGAAA
rnacentral:lncRNA from 1 species